AUGACCAUAUCAUAUUAAAAAAACGGUUCUCAUAUGAUCACUGAAGUUAAGCAAUGUUGAGCCUGAUCAGUACCUAGAUCUGUGAGCACUUAGGAAUAAUAGGUUUUGUAA